UCUCCGUAGGUGAACCUGCGGAGGGAUCAUUACAGAGUUCAUGCCCUACCGGGUAGAUCUCCCACCCUAUGUUAUUAUUACUUUGUUGCUUUGGCGGGCCGUUAGGCUCCGGCCCGACUACCGGCCCCGGCUGGUAAGCGCCCGCCAGAGGACCCAAAACCCUGAAUAUUAGUGUCGUCUGAGUACUAUAUAAUAGUUAAAACUUUCAACAACGGAUCUCUUGGUUCUGGCAUCGAUGAAAAACGCAGC
rnacentral:misc_RNA from 1 species